GCCGAAAUAGCUCAGUUGGGAGAGCGUUAGACUGAAGAUCUAAAUGUUCCUGGUUCGAUCCUGGGUUUUGGCA
rfam:Salmo salar isolate Sally breed double haploid chromosome ssa27, whole genome shotgun sequence.